AUCCGGCACGUGAACUGUGAACUGUGUCAGUUGAAAGCUGCAUUUCGAGCUUGCAGAAUUUCUGGCAUGGUUGCGAAGUAGUUGCGAUGUUUAUGCAAGAGUCAAAUGAGUCUUCCAGUUCACUCUUCGCUUGAUCAACUGUUUGUUGCGCGGGCGACACAGCUGUUAUAUUUACGGAACAAACCCCAUCCUUCGAUUGAGAUGGAUAAGGGGGCUCUCUUCCUAUCAACACGUAACCGGGAUACGCAGUCGUAAUAAUCAUCAAAAGUAUGCCAAUCCAUUUGACUACAGUUAAACGACAUUUACAAGUCCUUGAACGUACAGAUAGUCCAUGUUCUACAUCAAACAGUUUCGAUUUGGUUUGCUCAUAAAUUAAUUUCCCAUCAGAUUCAUCAACUUUUGUUGGUUGUUCCAUUCUAACUCACACAAAUUCAAAUUGACACUGACUGUGAGAAAUGUAAUCAAUGGUAUUACCAUCCUCUUUUGAGAGCAAUAUUAUAAAUUUCCUAUUCAGAUAGG